GUGCUCGCUUCGGCAGCACAUAUACUAAAACUGGAACAAUACAGAGAAGAUUAGCACGGGCCCUGCGCAAGGAUGACACGCAAAUUCAUGAAAUGUCCCAGUUUUUU
ensembl:snRNA U6 U6 spliceosomal RNA